UACCGUCACGUAUGAAAGCGAAUAUUCAAAAUCGAAAUUAUUUCACUUCCGUGCAUGAAACUUAAUGCUUAACAAUCAUUAAUUUCGAAGUAAUUUUAUUUCCUUUUUUAUUAAAUUGCUCUUUAAUGUUUGCGAUUGAAACAUACUUAUGUAUUGGAGUUUAUUAUAUGGAAUCUAUAUCAUUAUUCUAUUAAAAAAGAAAUGUAAUAUCGCCAAUUUUGACAUCUUUACUCUUUGGAUUUUACAUCAUAAGUUUGCGUAACAACGAUAAGCAUAUCACUGAUAAGCACACACUCGCACAAUGGCUACUGUCGGGAAGACGCUCUGGUUUGAAACGUCAUUUUAUCUUUGUUCUACAUUCCAUGAGAAUAAAGAUAGAAUGACGUUUCGGAGCAUUCAUAGUGCAGUCUUGACCGCAGCCAAUAUAAACUAUCUUCUUAA